CUCGUAGGCUGCCAACUAAGUCAGACGUGAAAUCCCUCGGCUUAACCGGGGAACUGCGUCUGAUACUGGAUGGCUUGAGAUCGGGAGAGGGAUGCGGAAUUCCAGGUGUAGCGGUGAAAUGCGUAGAUAUCUGGAGGAACACCGGUGGCGAAGGCGGCAUCCUGGACCGACACUGACGCUGAGGAGCGAAAGCCAGGGGAGACAAACG
rnacentral:rRNA from 1 species